rnacentral:rRNA from 1 species
CCUACGGGUGGCAGCAGUGAGGAAUAUUGGUCAAUGGGCGCGAGCCUGAACCAGCCAAGUAGCGUGAAGGAUGAAUGCCCUACGGGUUGUAAACUUCUUUUAUAAAGGAAUAAAGUGAGGCACGCGUGCCUUUUUGCAUGUACUUUAUGAAUAAGGAUCGGCUAACUCCGUGCCAGCAGCCGCGGUAAUACGGAGGAUCCGAGCGUUAUCCGGAUUUAUUGGGUUUAAAGGGUGCGUAGAUGGGCUGUUAAGUCAGUUGUGAAAGUUUGCGGCUCAACCGUAAAAUUGCCAUUGAUACUGGCAGGCUUGAGUACAGUUGAGGUAGGCGGAAUUCGUGGUGUAGCGGUGAAAUGCAUAGAUAUCACGAAGAACUCCGAUUGCGAAGGCAGCUUACGAAACUAUCACUGACAUUGAUGCUCGAAAGUGUGGGUAUCAAACAGGAUUAGAUACCCCAGUAGUC